GAUACGGGCUCGCUAUGGGCUUGUAAUUGGAAUGAGAACAAUCUAACAAACUUGUAUCGACGAACUAUUGGAGGGCAAGUCUGGUGCCAGCAGCCGCGGUAAUACCAGCUCCAAAAGCGUAUUAUAAAGUUGCUGCAGUUAAAAAGCUCGUAGUUGGAUUUCUGACUUGAGAAGUCUGUCUCGCUUCAAACGAAGUUUGAUGAUGGUACUUUUCGGUCAUCCUUCGUGGCGACAAAUCUGGGUUCUUUAUUGAAUUCGGAUUGUGAGCCCGAUCUGUUACUUUGAAAAAAUUAGAGUGUUCAAAACAGGCUUACGCUUGAAUACAUUAGCAUGAAAUAACAAUAUAGGACUUUGGUCUUAUUUUGUUGGUUUUCGAGACUAAAGUAAAGAUUGAUAGAGAAGAUUGGGGGUGCUAGUAUUCAACGGCCAGAGGUGAAAUUCAGUGAUUCGUUGAAGACUAUCUAAUGCGAAAGCAUUCACCAAGGACUUCUUCUUUAAUCAAGAACUAAAGUUGGGGGAUCGAAGACGAUCAGAUACCGUUGUAGUCCCAACUAUAAACGAUGUCGACUAAGGAUCCGCAGAAGUUGUAAUUUUAUAGACUCUGUGGGCACUUUCCGAGAAAUCAAAGUUUUUAGACUCCGGGGGGAGUAUGGCCGCAAGACUGAAACUUAAAGGAAUUGACGGAAGCGUACACCAGGGGUGGAGCCUGCGGCUUAAUUUGACGCAACACGGGAAAACUUACCAGGUCCGGACACCAGUUAGGAUUGACAGACUGAAGAUCUUUCUUGAUUCUGUGAAUGGUGGUGCAUGGCCGUUUUUAGUUGGUGGAGUGAUUUGUCUGCUUAAUUGCGAUAACGAACGAGACCGCAGCCUGCUAAUUAGAGAAAACAAUCUUUUUGAUUGUUAUUCAACUUCUUAGAGGGACUGUUCGUGUUCAACGAAAGGAAGUUUGCGGCAAAAACAGGUCUGUGAUGCCCUUAGAUGUUCUGGGCUGCACGCGCGCUACACUGGCAGUUUCAACAAGUUAAUUCACCUAAACCGAGAGGUUUGUGGUAAUCUUUGAAAAGCUGCCGUGAUGGGGAUAGAUUAUUGUAAUUAUUAAUCUUGAACGAGGAAUCCCUUUUAAUCGCAAGUCAUCAGCUUGCACUGAAUACGUCAAUAUGCUUUGUACACACCGCCUGUCGCUCCUACCGAUUGGACUGUUUAGCGAGCAGAUCGGAUUGAGUCAUGCGAGAGUUUUUACUCAUUCACGAUAUUCGAAAAGUUCUGCAAACUCAACUGUC
rnacentral:rRNA from 1 species